AAGGUUUGGUCCUAGCCUUGAAAUCAGUUCUUAGUUAAUAUACACAUGCAAGUCUCCGCACCCCAGUGAGAACGCCCUAACUUCCCCCUUAGGGAAUAGGAGCCGGUAUCAGGCUCAUAUACAUGCCCAUUACACCUAGUCUCGCCACACCCCCAAGGGUCUUCAGCAGUGAUAAACAUUGAGCAUAAGCGUCAGCUUGACUCAGUUAAACUAAUUAGAGCCGGCCAAUCCGGUGCCAGCCGCCGCGGUUACACCAUUGGCUCAAAUUGAUUUCCCCCGGCGUAAAGCGUGAUUAAAGCCCCACUCUUAUUCUGGAAUUCAACUAAAACUAAGCUGUGACACGCUUGUUAUCUAAGAAAACCAUAAACGAAAGUUAUUCCAAUCUAACCAACUUGAAUUCACGUCAACUGAGAAACAAACUGGGAUUAGAUACCCCACUAUGCUCAGUCGUAAACUUUAAAUUACUUCCUACUCGCCCGGGAACUACGAGCUAUGCUUAAAACCCAAAGGACUUGACGGUACCCCAUAUCCCCCUAGAGGAGCCUGUCCUAUAAUCGACACCCCCCGUUCAACCUCACCAUUUCUAGCAACAUCAGCCUGUAUACCUCCGUCGUCAGCUUACCACGUGAGCGUCAGUGAGCUCUAUGUUUAUUCAACUAUACGUCAGGUCAAGGUGCAACACAUGAAAUGGGAAGAGAUGGGCUACACUCUCUAUCUUAGAGAAAACGAAAAACUACUUAUGAAAUCUAGUCAGAAGGCGGAUUUAGAAGUAAAAUGGAACCAGAGAGUCCCUUUUAACACGGCACUGGGGUGUGUACACACCGCCCGUCACCCUCCUCAACGCUACUUUAAAGUUUCUCACAUACCUUAGCUACAUAGAAGAGGCAAGUCGUAACAUGGUAAGUGUACUGGAAAGUGUACUUGGAAA
rnacentral:ncRNA from 1 species